rnacentral:rRNA from 1 species
GACAAACAGAUCGAAUUAAAGUUGAUGAUAGUAAAAAAGGAGGUUAAUAUAUUAUAUUUGAAAAAUAAUGCUUUUUAGGGAGGUGGAAUUUAGAUAAAAAGAGAUAAUUUGUAUUUUUCUUUUUUUGAGGCCUCGAAAUUUUGUUAUGAAACCGGGAUUAGAUACCCCGUUAUUCAGAAUGUAAACUAUGAUUAUAUUUAUAAUUUACUUGAGUAUUACGAGUGCUGGAAGAUUGUGUUUUCUAUGUUUCUUAAAACUCAAAAGACUUGGCGGUGCCUCAUAUCCUUCCAGGGGAACCUGUCCUAUAAUCGAUAGUCCACGAUGUAACUUUCUUUCUUUUGAAUUUUAGUAUCAGCUUGUAUACCGUCGUCGUCGGGUUAUCUUUAAGAGUUAUGAAGUUAUCGGUGUGAGUAAUUAGAGAUUUAAUUUAUGGUAAUAUAACCUAAAGUUAAUUUAUGUAAAUUCUAGACGUCAGAUCAAGGUGCAGUUUAUAGGGGAGCAGAGAUGGGUUACAAUAAUAAAUUAUUAUACGAAUUUUUGUUGUAAAUAGCAGAAAUGAAGGAGGACUUGGAAGUAAUUGGUCUAAAGAUAAGAGAGCUUANAUGAANAUAGGCUCUGAGGCGCGC